UACGUAGGUGGCAAGCGUUAUCCGGAAUUAUUGGGCGUAAAGCGCGCGCAGGUGGUUUCUUAAGUCUGAUGUGAAAGCCCACGGCUCAACCGUGGAGGGUCAUUGGAAACUGGGAGACUUGAGUGCAGAAGAGGAAAGUGGAAUUCCAAGUGUAGCGGUGAAAUGCGUAGAGAUUUGGAGGAACACCAGUGGCGAAGGCGACUUUCUGGUCUGUAACUGACACUGAGGCGCGAAAGCGUGGGGAGGCGAACAGG
rnacentral:rRNA from 1 species